rnacentral:rRNA from 1 species
AUACGUAGGUGGCAAGCGUUGUCCGGAAUUAUUGGGCGUAAAGCGCGCGCAGGCGGUCCUUUAAGUCUGAUGUGAAAGCCCACGGCUCAACCGUGGAGGGUCAUUGGAAACUGGGGGACUUGAGUGCAGAAGAGGAAAGUGGAAUUCCAAGUGUAGCGGUGAAAUGCGUAGAGAUUUGGAGGAACACCAGUGGCGAAGGAGACUUGCUGGUCUGUAACUGACGCUGAGGCGCGAAAGCGGGGGGAGCAAACAGGAUUAGAUACCCUGGUAGUCCACGCCGUAAACGAUGAGUGCUAAGUGUUAGGGGGUUUCCGCCCCUUAGUGCUGCAGCUAACGCAUUAAGCACUCCGCCUGGGGAGUACGGUCGCAAGACUGAAACUCAAAGGAAUUGACGGGG